AGUGGCGGACGGGUGAGUAACACGUAGAGAACCUACCUUACACAGGGGGACAACGGCUGGAAACGGCUGCUAAUACCGCAUAAGCACCCAGUUUCGCAUGAAACAGAGUGAAAAGAGUAAAUCGGUGUAAGAUGGCUCUGCGUCUGAUUAGCUAGUUGGUGGGGUAACGGCCCACCGAGGCGACGAUGCGUAGGGGUUCUGAGAGGAAGGUCCCCCACACUGGUACUGAGACACGGACCAGACUCCUACGGAAGGCAGCAG
rnacentral:rRNA from 1 species